rnacentral:rRNA from 1 species
CGGCGACCGGCGCACGGGUGCGUAACGCGUAUGCAACCUACCCAUUACAGGGGGAUAACACUGAGAAAUCGGUACUAAUACCCCAUAACAUCCAGGGAGGCAGCUUCUUGGGUUGAAAACUCCGGUGGUAAUGGAUGGGCAUGCGUUGUAUUAGUUAGUUGGUGGGGUAACGGCCUACCAAGGCGACGAUCAGUAGCCGGCCUGAGAGGGCGGACGGCCACACUGGGACUGAGACACGGCCCAGACUCCUACGGAAGGCAGCAG